rnacentral:rRNA from 1 species
ACGGGUGAGUAAUAUAUCGGAACGUGCCCUAGAGUGGGGGAUAACGUAGCGAAAGUUACGCUAAUACCGCAUACGAUCUAUGGAUGAAAGUGGGGGAUCGCAAGACCUCAUGCUCCUGGAGCGGCCGAUAUCUGAUUAGCUAGUUGGUGGGGUAAAAGCCUACCAAGGCGACGAUCAGUAGCUGGUCUGAGAGGACGACCAGCCACACUGGGACUGAGACACGGCCCAGACUCCUACGGGAGGCAGCAGUGGGGAAUUUUGGACAAUGGGGGCAACCCUGAUCCAGCAAUGCCGCGUGUGUGAAGAAGGCCUUCGGGUUGUAAAGCACUUUUGUCAGGAACGAAACGGUGGGGGCUAAUAUCUCCUGCUAAUGACGGUACC